rnacentral:rRNA from 1 species
CCUACGGGAGGCAGCAGUGAGGAAUAUUGCACAAUGUGGGAAACCCUGAUGCAGCGACGCCGCGUGAGUGAAGAAGUAUCUCGGUACGUAAAGCUCUAUCAGCAGGGAAGAAAAUGACGGUACCUGACUAAGAAGCCCCGGCUAACUACGUGCCAGCAGCCGCGGUAAUACGUAGGUGGCAAGCGUUAUCCGGAUUUACUGGGUGUAAAGGGAGCGUAGACGGCAGAACAAGUCUGGAGUGAAAUACAGGGGCUGACCCCCGGAACUGCUUUGGAAACUGUCCGGCUGGAGUGCAGGAGGGGUAAGCGGAAUUCCUAGUGUAGCGGUGAAAUGCGUAGAUAUUAGGAGGAACACCGGUGGCGAAGGCGGCUUACUGGACUGUAACUGACGGUGAGGCUCGAAAGCGUGGGGAGCAAACAGGAUUAGAUACCCGGGUAGUA